UACGUAGGGGGGCAAGCGUUUGUCCGGAAUCAUUGGGCGUAAAGCGCGUGUAGGCGGCUUGGUAAGUCCGCUCUGAAAGCCCGGGGCUCAACCCCGGGAGGCGGGUGGAUACUGCUGGGCUCGAGUCCGGAAGAGGCGAGUGGAAUUCCCGGUGUAGCGGUGAAAUGCGCAGAUAUCAGGAGGAACACCGGUGGCGAAGGCGGUUCUCUGGGCAUUACCUGACGCUGAGGAGCGAAAGUGUGGGGGAGCGAACAGG
rnacentral:rRNA from 1 species